rnacentral:rRNA from 1 species
AUGGCGGCGUGCUUAUACUGCAAGUCGAACGAGGUGCCGCAAGGCAUUGAGUGGCGAACGGGUGAGUAACGCGUUGGUGACCUGCCCCGAAGAGAGGGAUACCAGUUCGAAAGGACUGCUAAUACCGCAUGAGCUUACCGGGAUUAGAAGCCGGUAAGGAAAGGGAGCAAUUCGCUUCGGGAGGGACCUGCGUCCCAUCAGCUAGUGGGUAAGGUAACGGCCUACCAAGGCGAUGACGGGUAGGGGACCUGAGAGGGUGGCCCCCCACAAUGGAACUGAAACACGGUCCAUACACCUACGGGUGGCAGCAGUAGGGGAUAUUGCAAAAUGGGCGCAAGCCUGAUGCAGCAACGCCGCGUGUGCGAUGAAGGCCUUCGGGUCGUAAAGCACUUUUCGAGGGGAUGAGGAAGGACAGUACCCUCGGAAUAAGCCUCGGCUAACUACGUGCCAGCAGCCGCGGUAAAACGUAGGAGGCGAGCGUUAUCCGGAUUUACUGGGCGUAAAGCGCGUGCAGGCGGAUGGUUAAGUUGGAUGUGAAAGCUCCCGGCUUAACUGGGAGAGGUCGUUCAAGACUGGCCGUCUUGAGUACAGUAGAGGGAAGUGGAAUUCCGGGUGUAGUGGUGAAAUGCGUAGAUAUCCGGAGGAACACCAGUGGCGAAAGCGGCUUCCUGGACUGAAACUGACGCUCAGACGCGAAAGCUAGGGUAGUAAACGGGAUUAGAGACCCCGGUAAUCCUAGCCGUAAACGAUGUAGACUUGGCGUAGGAGGGUUUAAAUCCU